rnacentral:rRNA from 1 species
UACAGAGGUGGCAAGCGUUGUUCGGAAUUACUGGGCGUAAAGGGCACGUAGGCGGCCAUCUAAGUCAGACGUGAAAUCCCCCGGCUUAACCUGGGAACUGCGUCUGAUACUGGACGGCUAGAGUUUGGGAGAGGGAUGUGGAAUUCCAGGUGUAGCGGUGAAAUGCGUAGAUAUCUGGAGGAACACCGGUGGCGAAGGCGGCAUCCUGGACCAACACUGACGCUGAGGCGCGAAAGCUAGGGGAGCAAACGGG